AUCUUCUCGUCCUUAGAAACACAGAAACACACUGGUCCUCUCUUUCUCUCUCACUCUCUGUGAACUCUCACGCCAUUAAUUCGAAGAAGAUCUCUUCCGCCAUGUAGACUCUCCCCACCUUGAAUCCAGGUUAUUAUGGCAGCAAUGGGGGUAGAUGAAAAUGGACUUCCCAUGUCUCAAAAUUCAACUAAACUUGGCCACCUGAAGGGCUAUUGGUUCGUACUCAUAUCCCUAUCUCCUACAAAACCUGGAAGGAUGUGCCAGAUACUUAUAAAGAGGACGUCUGGAAUGAACAACAUAUAUCAUUUCUACUGCCCGAUACUUUCAAGGAAACUGUGGUGAAGGGGAUGUCUGAUCCAUGGAGGAGACAUAAGUGGGAGUUACAAACAACAUAUUAUGAUCCAUACACUACUUAUGAAGAAAGGAUCUUACAUACUCCUCCAAAUGUAAAAGAUGAGGACUGGGAAACAUUCUGUCGCAACGAGGAGGAUGAAGAAGUACAAAAAACUAGAGUGGAUAAUAAUAGGAAAAAGGAAAGAUAUGAUUACAUUCAUACCAUCGGUCGUAAACCUCAUAGUUUGGUGAGAGCUGAACUGGAGUAUAAGGUCAACUGAAGCUAGUAGCCACCCGGGGGAAUAUCAAUCCCUGGUAAGUUCAUUUGAUUAUAACUGGAUUCAGUUUGCUGAAAUUUGCUAAUAUUAACCUUCAGUUGACACUUUCUUUCGAGGUAUUACACUUAAUGAUCAGCAAGCUGCGAGAUUAUGCCGUUUACAACCUUUCUCUGGUUGGGAUUUAACCGUUGGAUUUGAUUGAUGAUACUACUAUAUUCAGUAAAAAGAAAGUAGAGAACAAGGCAUGAUGAUAUACUUUUAAAAUUUGAAAAAGGCAUGAUGAUACUUUUGUUCUUAUAUGCUUUAGUUUUGCUUCUGCUUUUACCAUUCCUUUUUAUCAUUUCGAUUCUUUGCAUUCUCGUGUCUGUUGUUUUGAAGAAUUACAUGCUCUGAUUCUCACUGAGAGGCUUUAUGUGGUAACUGCUCAGUUUGACCAGUUAAGAGCCAUAUGAUUUCAAAAAGAUGUUAGUAGAGCCACGACGAGAAGAAAAACGCAAAAAGGUGUCCAUUUCACACUCAACGGAUGCAUCUAGAUCUGUACGUGCAGAAGAGCAAGAGACAUCACCUUCUAGUGUGAAUGUCCUUAACUGAUUCCUGUAUAUUUGUAUACAUGACUUGCUAAUGCAUCGACCUUGGGAUGCUGAUUAUGUCCGCAGGGGUUAAUGGGUUCUUUUGGGCUCAUUGAAAUUCUCAACACUUGCAUUCCCUCUUUAAUCAAUUUUUUGUUUUCCUGUUUUGCUUAUACGUUGUCUUGGCAUUUACUUUGUAUAUUAAUUUAUUUGAUAUUUUUGUAUUUUGCUUACUUAAGUACUAACACUUGCAUUUCCUUUGUUAUCUGAAUUAGUCCAACUCUCUUUUUAUGCAGGUUCUGCAAGAUUCUUACAUUUAUGGAGUUACCUAACUUAGAAGCCGAGUUGCAGGCGAAGUAUGAACCACUUUGCAAAUGAAGUACUAGCACAAGGGUUUUGUUAGUCAAGGGUUCAGGAUGGCUGCUAAAUGUGCACUGAAUUUUUAAAUUGUGUUUGCAACAGAGGAAGAAGCAGAUGAUUCAUUGAAUUCUUGUGGCAGGAGUUCUUACUCUUGCAUUCUUAAGGUUUCUUGCGCUGCUAGCACAUUUGAGGAGGUUGAUGAAGUUCUACAGCUUGAUAUGGCAAGGGUUGAGAGCUAGAACAAAGAAACAUAAGUAUUCAUUUUCAACAUCUUCUCUCCAGAGUGGUCUAGUCCAUUUACAGAGUGAUGAUUUGCCACCACUCAUUUGGAUUGUUGGUUAUGGACAAUAUCCUGCUUAUUGAUGAUUUCCACCACUAACAACAAUUGGGGUUCAGUAGGAUCAUGCUUGCAGAUGUGUGGCCAGGUACUUCAUGUAUUUGUCUUUCAUCCUUCAUUUUUCCAUUGUAGACAAAAUGUUAGACUUCCUUAUUGUUUGAAACAUUAUGUAACUUUCUGUUGGUAUAAUAUGGAGUGUAUAGACAUUAUCCAAAUGACAAUUUUUGUUGUCUAGUGAUUCUUGUAAUGUUUUUCUUUGUUGUAUAUAUAUGAUUGAUUGACUGAA